rnacentral:rRNA from 1 species
UACGAAGGGGGCUAGCGUUGCUCGGAAUCACUGGGCGUAAAGCGUACGUAGGCGGAUCUUUAAGUCAGGGGUGAAAUCCUGGAGCUCAACUCCAGAACUGCCUUUGAUACUGAGGACCUUGAGUUCGGGAGAGGUGAGUGGAACUGCGAGUGUAGAGGUGAAAUUCGUAGAUAUUCGCAAGAACACCAGUGGCGAAGGCGGCUCACUGGCCCGAUACUGACGCUGAGGUGCGAAAGCGUGGGGAGCGAACAGG